AAGUGGACAUACUGUGUAGGAACUUCCAAUUACCAGGACAGAUUCUCCAAAUCCUCCCUGUGAAAGGGAGUCCCCAGUCACUGCAGAACAGAGACUGAACAGGUGGAGCCUAUGAGAGAGGGCCCAAUGCCUGUGAGAGCUCAGGCUGUGUUCAUGUGUUGGACACAGGGAUGCAGCUGUGCUUCCCCUGAGCUCAGAAGUUUCAUUAGAGGAUUUCAUAGAAGGGCUCACUAGAGAAGAGAAGAGAAAUGGAGAUGCUGUCCUGAUUACAACAGACUACCUAUUUCCUGAACACACAAAGGAUAUCUGAGAAAGAAGACGAAGUUCCUCAUGUCAGACGAGUACAGAAAUGAUGCAAAAGUUCCAUCCCUGGAGUUUCAUCUGAAGAAGUCACAAAUAUCCUCGGAAGAACCUCUCCAAUCAUAGCUCCGUGUGCCAGAGAAACAGAUUAUCCUGAUGGCAGGAAUCCCUUCAUGGAUCCACUACUCUAAGCAUCUAUGUUUCACCACAUUGAUCCCAGCUGGAAUGAAACCAGAACUUUUCUUGUACUAGACUGAAGUGGAAAACAAUGAUGUUAAUCACUCACCUAACCGUGACUGGUAUUGUCCUUGGUUCUGAACUGCUACUCCGGAGAGAUGCUUUCCUUGCUGUGUGCUGAACUGUGUAGACAAGAGAUUCAAAUGCCAUAUGAUACAUGAACAUGUCAAAUGUCUUUCUGAGUAACCUUAUCUGCAUCCCCACAAAGCACAGUUGAAGAUCUUUUCCUGGGCAGAAGCCAACCAUGCUAAAUGGUGUAGAUAGAGAGUGAAGUGUAGGUGUACUGGGAUGAUGUCAAGUGCAGUAGAAACUCUGGUGGGAUCAGGAGCUGCAUUUAACAUCAGACAUCAUCUGCAUGUGUACCAGGCAAGCCCAUGCUACCAAGCAUUGUCCUAACCACCCCAUGGGCUCAGGCUUGCUGCUAUCAGGAAUAAUGGUCAACUGUUUGAAGCAUUUUAGAAGAGAGAUCUGGUUCUUGAGAGCAGGUCCUGGGAGAACACAGCUUUCCCGGCACUCUUCUGGGCUGCUUGGCAGCAGCACACCCAGACAGGGCACUUGGAAGACUCUGGCCACAUCCUGCACUGUAGGCACAGGUGAUAUUUGGGGCAGUGGUGGAGACCUGGGCAUUAACAUCCUUGUUAUAUGUACCCUGUCCCCAAGUCCCUGAUUAAAUAGUCAGGUAUUUAGAACACAUGCAUUUACACAUUCUGCUACCAAAACUGAUGGAAAGAAGCCCUGUUUACAGCUUACUUUAAAUGGGCAUUUCAGAGUGUCUAUGGCUUUAGGGAUCUUUGCUUUUGUUUGUGAAAGAAAUAAUGACCUCACCAAGCAGUUCUACAAACCUGUUAGCUUCUUCUACCAGGGAAGGUUCUUCCACAGAUAUUGAAGUUGUCUGAACAGAAACUAAUUUGAAGGCUGGAAUGGAAGAAUAUUUAUGUUCUGAGAGCCACAAAGCUCCAUGGAGAUCCCAGAUGAGCCUAGAUUUAUUUUUAGUGCUACGAGCUAUUUGGGCUUUGGGUUGUUUGUUACCAACUUGCAUUUCUGAUUUUCUUGAUUAGUGCUUGAAGCCUUAUUAUUUGGUUUGCAACAUUAAUGCCUACAGGAACAAUGGCUGUGCUUUGGAAAAAGUCAUGUUUAUAGAGCUUUUAAAAUAUACAGUCUGCCUUAGGGAAAAUUAAAGUGUUGUUCCAUUCCUUAUCCAGGAAUUGUCAAAAAUGUAACAGAAUAUAUUUCAGUAGGAAGAAUAGCAGAAGCAGUAAAUAUUUUGAAUUUAAGAGCCAAAUAUUAUGAUUUUUUUUUUGUUCCAGGCAGAUAUGUGCAACCUGCGUGUCACUUAACUACUGUGUGACACUAUUACUUUGAAUGACUCAUUUAUGACUGUUUUAAAAUACUUUAAAUAAUAAUUUUCCAUGUAUGCUCCUUGUAGACAGGUAGCAAACGUGGCUGUGGAUGUUACACAGGCAGAAAAACAUGUUUGUGGGAAGAGAAAAAAAUAUUCUAGAUUUAUGUGUUGAUGGAAAGGACUGGACACAGAGGCUGAAACAAUUAAGCAAUGUUUUUUAGUACAACACAUAAAAAGAAUGCAGAGAUGCCUGUGACAAGAAGGCAAUGAUCAGCUGCCACCCAUAUAAGUGGAGAUGUGAGCUGCCUGGGAGGUGCUGAGAUUGCUGGCUAGAUUUGCUCAAAGCUCCAGCCAGUAAGAAGAUAGUUAUAUGUCCAGGUUGGUACAUAUGCUGAGGCACAACUUAUUUUCAUUCCACGCAAAACAUUAUAAAAGCAAAAACUCUGGUAUGAACAGAUGCAUAUGGAUUCAAGGCAGCAAAAGUUCUUCACACUAUGGUUAUGUAAUUCUUCAGGUGAUUUUGCAAAUCCUUCAUAUUAACAGUAUGAUAAAAAUAUGGACCAAGAGGAUGCUUUCAGAUACGACAGGCAUCCUGAAACAAUUCGUGUUGUAGUCUGUUGUGCAUUUGUCAAGGGCAAUCCCAGACUAUCUGUCUCAGAACAGAAUAUCUAUCUGUUAUUCUGAUCAGACCAGCUUCAGAAAAUGUUAUUUUUCUAUGAAUUUCUAAUCAGAUCUGAAUAGAGUUGUUUGAUUUAGCUGAAUCAAGAUACUUCUGUGAAGGAUGAUAUUGAGGGAAUACAGAGGCACAUAUCACAACUGGCCAAAGCAGAGAAAUCCACAUACUUGUUUUACAGCAACAUUUGUACCAAACAGGACUUUGCACAACACAUAUGCCUCUGUUUUAGGAGAUCCCUAUCAGUCUCUAGAGGAGGAAAUAUCAUGCAAAUAACAUCUGCCUAUUCAGCAUUUUUUUCAAUGUUUCAAAGAUGACAGUGCCUCAGAUUCGCAUUUAAAGAAAGUUAAGGUUAAUAAUUACCUUCCUUCCUUCUAAUGUAUAGCUGUCGGCUAGGAGAGGGAGAGACACUGCACUUUUGAUAAACAGUCAGUAUUUUGAAAUUGACCACUUUAUGGUGCCUGAAUGCCUGACAUUUAUUUUAUCUGUACCAGGCCUGUGGAUGGCACAGUUGGCUCUAUUGCCUGUUCCCAACUGUGUCUGACACAGAGCAGUGAGCACUGAGAGGCAACACAGUCUCUUUGAAGGAUGCUGGGGAGGAUAUCCCAGGGGAAAUGAGGAAGUACUUACCACAGUAGUGCAAGUCAGCCACUUUGCUACACAGUUUGGGACUUAAUCUGCUAAUAUUAUGGGUAAAAGAAGCUACACUGCACACUUGACCAAAUGUUUUGACUUUCAGUUGCAAAAUGCUAAUAGGGUACAGUGGGCUUUUCUUCAAUUACAGACUUAUCUGAGUGACAUCUUCAAUUAUAAUUAUAUGUAGGAUGCACUUGUCCUGUAUAAAUAUGAUAAUUGGUUCGUAAAUGUAUAAUGCUGUUAAUUAGCAUGUGAUCUCUUGUAACAACGGAACGUGUAUUGAUGUCUCCUGAGCCCCUGAAUGUGACACAAUAAUGAGUAGCAGUCCAAUGUCCUUGUAGUACUUGGAAAGGAAAGAACAUCAUUCACUCAUAUCAGGGUGUUUGGAAACUUUGACAGCAAAGACUAAUAAAAGAGGAGUCUGCUUGACCAUAUCUUCCUUUCUGAAAAGCUGAUAAUUAUCUAAUAAGACAAAAACAUUUUUCUGCUCAAAAGAGGGAAAAGCUCUUUUUACUCUUCACAUUAGUCUGUCAUGUUUAGUGCUCCACGGUCAGGGGAAUAUGAACAAGGAACAUUCUUGGUUUGUACUCUAGCAUGAAAGCUUCAAUGUAAGCACAGUAAAAGAAACUGGGAGGAAAAUAUACUAACACACACUCACACACAUGAAUGAGUACAAAUAAUAUGAACUGCAGUUACAGCAACACAGAGUAAGUUACAGAGUAAGUUACAUUGGAAGCAUAAAUUCGUAAAUUAUCUCAUAAAUGGAUGAGAAGGGAUGAUAAAACAGAUGGCUCAGACAAAUAGUUGGUUUAGUGAAAUAUUUUCUGUUACAGGAGAACUAGAUUUCUGAGAAGAAGUAAAAAUACGACAUUUGGAAAGCAUCAUAUAAAAUGAAAGUAAAAGCAAGAGAUGUUGCUGAAACAAUUCCACACGGAAAAUGUCUGAAUGUCUCCUCCAGAAAGUUACUGCAUCAAGGACAGAGCAGAUUGUGUUCCUCUGAGUCCAAGUGCAUGGGAAGAAAGGAGACAAAA